GAGAGUGGGCCGGGUGAGUAACACAUGGUGACUGCCCUCAAGGGGGACAUCACGGAACGGUGGCUAUACCCCAUACGCUCGCGUGAUUAGCAGCGGUGAGGAAACCUUCGGGGCUGAGGAGGGGCUGGGCCAUCACUAUUGGUAGGGUAACGGCUACAAGCGAAACGGUUAGGGGCCUGAUAGGUGACCCCCACACGGGCACUGAUACACGGGCCCGACUUCUACGUGAAGGCAGCAGUGAUGGAUAUUGCCCAAUGGACGGAAGUCUGAGUGCAGACAACGCCUGCGCUGCGUGGCAUGAAGUGCCUUCGGUGUUGUAAACCGCUUUUCUGCGCGAAGAGGAAAGACGGUAGCGCAGGAAGAAGUCUCGGCUAACUACGUGCCAGCAGCCGCGGUAAAACGUAGGAGGCGAGCGUUAUCCGGAUUUACUGGGUGUAAAGCGCGUGCUGGCGGUCAUGUAAGUGGUGCGUGAGAUCGCCCGGCUCAACCGGGCGAGGCCGUGCCAAACUGCGUGACUGGAGGCAGGUAGAGGCGCGUGGAAUUCCGGGUGUAGUGGUGAAAUGCGUAGAUAUCCGGAGGAACACCAGUGGCGAAUGCGGCGCGCUGGGCCUGACCUGACGCUAUGACGCGAAUGCAUGGGGAGCGAACGGGAUUAGAAAGCCCGGUAGUCCAUGCUGUAAACGCUGCAGACUACGUGU
rnacentral:rRNA from 1 species